rnacentral:rRNA from 1 species
AACGAACGCUGGCGGCAUGCCUAACACAUGCAAGUCGAACGAGACCUUCGGGUCUAGUGGCGCACGGGUGCGUAACGCGUGGGAAUCUGCCCUGGGGUGCGGAAUAACUCGGAGAAAUCCGUGCUAAUACCGCUUAAUGUCUUCGGACCAAGGAUUUAUCGCCCUGGGAUGAGCCCGCGUAGGAUUAGCUAGUUGGUGGGGUACAGGCCUACCAAGGCGACGAUCCUUAGCUGGUCUGAGAGGAUGAUCAGCCACACUGGGACUGAGACACGGCCCAGACUCCUACGGGAGGCAGCAGUGGGGAAUAUUGGACAAUGGGCGGAAGCCUGAUCCAGCAAUGCCGCGUGAGUGAUGAAGGCCCUAGGGUUGUAAAGCUCUUUUACCCGGGAUGAUAAUGACAGUACCGGGAGAAUAAGCUCCGGCAAACUCCGUGCCAGCCGCCGCAGUAAAAC